CUGGUUUGAGUUUCCUGAGCGAUGCCCUUUUCGCCAGCAGGGGGCGCGCCAACCCGCCAUUUCUGGAUCGUGCGGUGCGCAUGUGUGGUGGGCCUGCGGAUGUCCCCGCCUUUUCCCCAAUGAGGACAAGAGCUUAAGUUUCCUGAAGGCUACAGACGUCGUCCUACUGGCUCAGGACAACUUGAACCACGUCCUCAGGGAGCAAGAGGCUUCCUGCCCACCGCCCUGACCGGCCGAGGCCGGGGCUUUGUUGCAGUUUUCCCGGACAUUUUUCUAAAUUUUAAAAAAUAUUUUUAUUUAUUUUUGGGAGAGAGAGAGACAGAGACAGAGCGACAGCGGGAGGGGGACAGAGAGCGAGGGAGACACAGAACCGGGAGCAGGCUCUAGGCCCUGAGCGGUCAGCCCAGAGCCCAACGCGGUGCUCGAACCAACGAUCCGUGAGCUCGUGACCUGAGCCGAGGUCGGACGCUUAAACCGCCUGAGCCACCCAGGCGGCCCUCCCGGACGUUUUGCUGCAUGCCUGAUUUCUCAGCCAGUACUCCAGUACAACAUUGAACAGAACUGGGGACGUCUAGCCAAGAACUUCGAAGGAAAUUUAUCUGUUUACCCUACAGUUCUGUGAGCCAGCCGGGAGAUACCGAAACACCGUACUCACUGUGCAGCCUGCAGACAAGAUUCUAGAAAACUGACAGAAGCCAGCAGAAGGACACGCCUGGAAACUUUGGUUAUAUUGUGAAGACUUCGACUGGAAUGUCAUAUUUGAGAGAGGCAUGCACACAUUCAGACUGGACUAGAUCCUGAAUUCUUUUAGUUUCCUCUAGUGUUUGGCUACGACUCUCCAAACCAACAUGUCCAAGUUUUCUCCCACCCUUUCUAAGUUGAAAUUAUCGGGAACUAAAACUACACUUUCUCCAAAGCCAUGCAAGCUAGUUAGACAACGUGAUCUCAACGUCAGAGAAAUCGCAAGAGCUCAGGUAUAGACAGUCUCCAUGCGUGUUGCUGUAUGGGCCACUCAGAAAGAUCGCCAGAGACAUUCAAACUACAAACCGGGAAAAUCUGUCAAAUUGCCACCGCCAGCCCUCGCUCCAUCUGAAGACGCUUUGAGCUGGACAUCGACAACUCUUCUCCACUGGCUGCUUUCGAAACUCAGGAACUGAGAUGGACAUUUUCUCUGCCUCUCUGCCCGUGAAUUGUCUUCAUCCCAUUGGAUGUCCCAAACCACUACCCUCUUCUCCACAGUCCAGGACUGCAUAUAAGCCUCAAUUGCCUGACCGACUAGGUCUCAUAUCUUUGGGGCCUCUGGUCCUUCUAGCCAGAGGAAGAAUCAAAUGGACAUGAGACGGAUUAACAGAAGAAAAUGAAAUUUAAUUUUAUAUGUAUGUGGGAUCCACACACGCAUGGAAAUUCCAAGGAUAGUCAGGCAAAAUGAGUAGUGGAUGACUUCAUUCCAGCGAUGGAAGAUGCCUGCUGCCGUUCUGAGGCGGAGAGGAAUACAUAAAGCGUCUACUACUUGCCAGGCACUGUGGAUAAAAAGGUAAGACUGACAACUUUUGCCCUUCUGGAGCUCACAGCUCCAGGAUGACAGAGGGAGGAAGAGUCAGUUACACAAGCGUGAUGAGCAUUGUGAUAGGCAGGCGCAGGGGGCUGGGCGCGUGCAGAGGAGUUAGCGUGGCCUUCCGUGGGGAUAGGAUGGUAAGAAAAGUCUCGCUGGGGCAGAGCCUUGAAAGAUGUGCUAGCUCCCUCGUGGAAAACAAGGAAGUGGAUGGUCUAUCCCAGGCAUUGGAACAACAUGGGCGGAGAGGAGAGGUAAGGGAAGAUGGUUCGCGUGGGAAACCGCAGGUCUGACUGGGAACUUAAUAUCAGGGGCACUGGAAGGGCGAGGACUUACAGGUGCCUGAUGGUGAAGCGGGAUGUUGGAUGCACUAGGCGGGGGCUUUAUCUGGAGGGCAAUGGGAAAUCGUUAGUGUUUCAAGCAGAGGAAGCCAGUGGUCCGGCUCAUGAAGUGAGUAUUAAUGAGCCCCACAUCUCUUGUUGCAAGGAACGGCACAAAGUUUAGUUGCAACUAAACCCAAAUUAAAUUUGGCUCUGGGCAUCCUUUCCCUUGCCAGGAUGGCAAGAAUUUGAUGUUGCUUGUGUCUUAGAAAUUCUUGCUCUUUUUCCUAACUUGUAUAGAUUCUUCCUUUAUUUCAGUUAUUGUUUCAGGAUGAAUUCAGAGUGAUUUUUUUCACCCUUGGUUUUUAUUAUGCUUAUAACAUCACAUCGUGUCUCACUAAUUCAUACUGAAGUAUUCUUUUUUAUCUUUUACAUCUUUUUUUAUUUUACUUUUUAUUUUUUAAAAUUUCCAUCCAAAUUAGUUAGCAUCUAGUGCAACAAUGAUUUCAGAAGUCGAUUCCUCAGUGCUCCUGACCCAUUGAGCCCAUCCCCCCUCCCACACCCCCUCCAGUAACCCUCUGUUUGUUGUCCAUAUUCAUGAGUCUCUUCU